AGUGAACGCUGGCGGCAGGCCUAACACAUGCAAGUCGAGCGGAUGAAGGGAGCUUGCUCCUGGAUUCAGCGGCGGACGGGUGAGUAAUGCCUAGGAAUCUGCCUGGUAGUGGGGGAUAACGUCCGGAAACGGGCGCUAAUACCGCAUACGUCCUGAGGGAGAAAGUGUGGGAUCUUCGGACCUCACGCUAUCAGAUGAGCCUAGGUCGGAUUAGCUAGUUGGUGGGGUAAAGGCCUACCAAGGCGACGAUCCGUAACUGGUCUGAGAGGAUGAUCAGUCACACUGGAACUGAGACACGGUCCAGACUCCUACGGGAGGCAGCAGUGGGGAAUAUUGGACAAUGGGCGAAAGCCUGAUCCAGCCAUGCCGCGUGUGUGAAGAAGGUCUUCGGAUUGUAAAGCACUUUAAGUUGGGAGGAAGGGCAGUAAGUUAAUACCUUGCUGUUUUGACGUUACCAAAAGAAUAAGCACCGGCUAACUUCGUG
rnacentral:rRNA from 1 species